rnacentral:rRNA from 1 species
AAUAUUGGACAAUGGGGGCAACCCUGAUCCAGCCAUGCCGUGUGUGUGAAGAAGGUCUUCGGUGUGUAAAGCACUUUAAGUUGGGAGGAAGGGCUUUAGGUUAAUACCCUGAGGUUUUGACGUUACCAAUAGAAUAAGCACCGGCUAACUCUGUGCCAGCAGCCGCGGUAAUACAGAGGGUGCAAGCGUUAAUCGGAAUUACUGGCCGUAAAGCGCGCGUAGGUGGUUCAGUAAGAUGGGUGUGAAAUCCCCGGGCUUAACCUGGAAACUGCUUUCAUAACUGCUGGGCUAGAGUACGGUAGAGAGUAGUGGAAUUUCCUGUGUAGCGGUGAAAUGCGUAGAUAUAGGAAGGAACACCAGUGGCGAAGGCGACUACCUGGACUGAUACUGACACUGAGGUGCGAAAGCGUGGGGAGCAAACA